rnacentral:rRNA from 1 species
UAGGGAAUCUUCCACAAUGGACGCAAGUCUGAUGGAGCAACGCCGCGUGAGUGAAGAAGGUUUUCGGACCGUAAAGCUCUGUUGUUGGUGAAGAAGGAUAGAGGUAGUAACUGGCCUUUAUUUGACGGUAAUCAACCAGAAAGUCACGGCUAACUACGUGCCAGCAGCCGCGGUAAUACGUAGGUGGCAAGCGUUGUCCGGAUUUAUUGGGCGUAAAGCGAGCGCAGGCGGAAGAAUAAGUCUGAUGUGAAAGCCCUCGGCUUAACCGAGGAAUUGCAUCGGAAACUGUUUUUCUUGAGUGCAGAAGAGGAGAGUAGAACUCCAUGUGUAGCGGUGGAAUGCGUAGAUAUAUGGAAGAAUACCAGUGGCGAAGGCGGCUCUCUGGUCUGCAACUGACGCUGAGGCUCGAAAGCAUGGGUAGCGAACAGGAUUAGAUACCCUUGGUAGUCCAUGCCGUAAACGAUGAGUGCUAAGUGUUGGGAGGCUUCCGCCUCUCAGUGCUGCAGCUAACGCAUUAAGCACUCCGCCUGGGGGAGUACGACCGCAAGGUUGAAAC